rnacentral:pre_miRNA from 1 species
AGGGGAGGCCGGAUCCUGGGCUGUGUCCCGGCGCCCUUUGCCCCCGGGCCUGCGCUGCUGGAUUCGCGCUCCUGGCCACGCAGCCGCCU